GACGAACGCUAGCGGCAGGCUUAAUACAUGCAAGUCGAGGGGUAGCAAGAUUGUAGCAAUACAAUUGUUGACGACCGGCAAACGGGUGCGGAACACGUACACAACCUUCCUACAAGUGGGGAAUAGCCCAGAGAAAUUUGGAUUAAUACCCCGUAACAUAGCGAUGUGGCAUCACAUUGCUAUUAUAGCUUCGGCGCUUGUUGAUGGGUGUGCGGCUGAUUAGAUAGUUGGCGGGGUAACGGCCCACCAAGUCUACGAUCAGUAGCUGAUGUGAGAGCAUGAUCAGCCACACGGGCACGGAGACACGGGCCCGACUCCUACGGGAGGCAGCAGUAAGGAAUAUUGGACAAUGGACGCAAGUCUGAUCCAGCCAUGCCGCGUGAAGGAUUAAGGUCCUCUGGAUUGUAAACUUCUUUUAUAAGGGACGAAAAAAGGUCUUUCUAGAUCGUCUGACGGUACCUUAUGAAUAAGCACCGGCUAACUCCGUGCCAGCCGCCGCCGUAAUAC
rnacentral:rRNA from 1 species